rnacentral:rRNA from 1 species
AUUGAACGCUGGCGGCAGGCCUAACACAUGCAAGUCGAACGAGUGGCGGACGGGUGAGUAAUGUCUGGGAAACUACCUGAUGGAGGGGGAUAACUACUGGAAACGGUAGCUAAUACCGCAUACCAUCGGAUGUGCCCAGAUGGGAUUAGCUGGUGGGGGGGGUAAAGGCUCACCUAGGCGACGACCCCUAGCUGGCCUGAGAGGAUGACCGCCCACACUGGAACUGGGCCCCGGUCCCGAUCCCUACGGGAGGCACCAGUGGGGAAUAUUCGACAAUGGGCGCAAGCCUGCUGCAGCCAUGCCGCGUGUAUGAAGAAGGCCUUCGGGUUGUAAAGUACUUUCAGCGGGGAGGCGUUACCCGCAGAAGAAGCACCGGCUAACUCCGUGCCAGCAGCCGCGGUAAUUC